CCCACCUGACCCCAUGCCGAACUCAGAAGUGAAACGCCGUAGCGCCGAUGGUAGUGUGGGGUCUCCCCAUGCGAGAGUAGGACACUGCCAGGCA
rnacentral:rRNA from 2 species